rnacentral:rRNA from 1 species
CAGCCGCCGCGGGAAUACGAAGGGGGCUAGCGUUGCUCGGAAUGACUGGGCGUAAAGGGCGCGUAGGCGGCUGACACAGUCAGAUGUGAAAUUCCUGGGCUCAACCUGGGGACUGCAUUUGAUACGUGUUAGCUUGAGUGGAGAAGAGGGUCGUGGAAUUUCCAGUGUAGAGGUGAAAUUCGUAGAUAUUGGAAAGAACACCGGUGGCGAAGGCGGCGACCUGGUCUUUAACUGACGCUGAGGCGCGAAAGCGUGGGGAGCAAACAGGAUUAGAUACCCCAGUAGUCCCUGUCUCUUAUAC